GAGAGAUUCUGCACUGAGGGGUAUGGCUGGUACUAUAGACAAACUGGCACCAUCAUAAUUGCAUUUUUCAAAGUUGGUAUUAUUUGCAGUUUUGGCCCAGGCAAGACAUCAGGUCAAGCAAAUGUUUGUGAAAGGCAUGGACAGAGAUUCGCCUUCUGCACAGAAGAAGCAUUCCUUCUCCUCCAGGGAACUCUCCAGCCUGUCUUCAGUGUACCAAAGGCAACCUCCUCCAAGCCUUCACCAAGUCUAAUCAGACAGGCUGAGGCUGACAGGUGCCUUAUACUGAAGUUACCAGCAUGUGUCCUCAUCGACGUAUUGGAAGAAGUUGUCCUUCAAGAAGGGGAUACAGCCAUCUUCAAAUUGUCUCUGGUGUGCUCCGUGUUCAGAGACCUUGUGUCUACUGAAUAUUUCAGAAGACGAGCACACUUCAAGUGGCUUCACAUUAAGGGCUUCAGUAAAUUAUGAAAUUAUAUGUACAGUUAUUGUUGCUGUUGUCACAUGUUUUUCACUGGUAGCAUGUAAAUGUUUUUGUUGCUGUUGUUUUUUUACUUCUGCUUUCCACAGGUGUUUGCACAUGGGGCAAGUUCUCAGAAAAGUACAGAGAACAGUACUUUAACAUGUAAACUAUUGAGAUCUGCUGUCAAUGUGGAGA